CAGUAGCCACGGUAAUACGUAGGGUGCAAGCGUUAAUCGGAAUUACUGGGCGUAAAGCGUGCGCAGGCGGUUAUAUAAGACAGAUGUGAAAUCCCCGGGCUCAACCUGGGAACUGCAUUUGUGACUGUAUAGCUAGAGUACGGCAGAGGGGGAUGGAAUUCCGCGUGUAGCAGUGAAAUGCGUAGAUAUGCGGAGGAACACCGAUGGCGAAGGCAAUCCCCUGGGCCUGUACUGACGCUCAUGCACGAAAGCGUGGGGAGCAAACAGGAUUAGAUACCUGGGUAGUCCCUGUCUCUUAUAA
rnacentral:rRNA from 1 species